rnacentral:lncRNA from 1 species
AUGCAUUUUAUUUAUUUAUAAAAAUGCACUUUGCACAUCUAUAGUUAAGGAGUUUUAACUCCUCAGCAUGACCCUUCUCCAAGAAACCUUAACCUCAGCCAGGAUCAUUUAGGCCGGUGUGUGUCUGUUUAAUGUCCAUGUGUUACUGUGCGGUCUAAUUCAUACACGGGCCUCCUUCUGUGCAGUGUCUCUUCUGGAGAGAGGGGAAGGGGAACAGCAGAGAGACGCAUUACUUGAAGUGUGGACACAUACAUUGGUGCCCCAACGCCGGCCACAGAGAAUGCGAAGAACUGCAGUGGUUCAAUACACGCGUGAUAAAGUGAAGAGAAGUGUGGAUGAAGAGCAAGAGGUCCCCCAGGUGGAGGUGGAUUCAGAGGUGGAGUCUGUCCAGCUGCCCUGUAAAUCCACAGCUGACCUGCCUGGAGACACUAGAGUGGAGUGGACCGACAUUUUAAACAGGAAGGUCCACGUGUAUGAGAGCGGCUCUGACCGACCUGACAAACAGAACCAGUUUUACCUUAACAGAACGAAGAUGAGCGACGAGCCGCUGAAAACCGGAGACCUCAGUCUGACCCUGAAACGCCCCACAGAUGGAGACAACUACACCUAUACCUGCACCGUCUACAGCAGGGACGGAGACAUCCUGGUCAAGAAACAAGUCAAGUUCAACGUCAGAGUCCCCCAGGUGGAGGUGGACUCAGGGGAGGAGUCUGUCCAGCUGCCAUUUGAAACCACAGCGGACCUGCCUGCAGACGCCCGAGUGUUGUGGAAGCACAUGUACCACAGUGUCCACGUGUUUAUGGACGGCUCUGACCGACCUGAAGACCAGCACCAGGCCUACAGAAACAGAACAAUGAUGAGUGAAGACCUGCUGAGAACUGGACGCCUCAGUCUGACCCUGAGACGUCCCACAUGGAGAGACAGUGGAGAAUACUUGUGUUUGGUUUUCAGACAGAGAGAUCUGCUGAGAGCAAAAUCAGUGCUGCUCACAGUCAAAGACACAGAUCAGGACCAGGAUCAAACAGGGGACAUCAGGACCAGCAGCAGCUCCACUGAUCUGACUGUUCUGAUGGCUUCUCACAGAGACCCAGAGCCUGAACCCCCUGAACAGUGUCCGGAUAAACUCCCUUGGACAGGACGCAGCUCAUGAGGAGAACCUUCCUGCGGACAGUCGGCCGGGUAGGGGAGGACAUUUUUUUACUUUUCAGUCUGCAGCCGACUUCCCACAAAGGAAACAGGUCCUUAGAUUACAUCCUUCCUCACGGUACAUCUCAUUGGUUAUGAUAGCAGGGGAGGAACCAUGGUUUAGACCUCAGUUCCACCUACAUGGGGGCUCGGACUGGUCCAAGAUCUUCUAAGGUCUGAAGCCAAUCUUCUUGUUCUUCUUUCCCUUAUGAAAUAAAACUUACAGUCAAGUUCA